rnacentral:rRNA from 1 species
CCUACGGGAGGCAGCAGUAAGGAAUCUUCCACAAUGGACGAAAGUCUGAUGGAGCAACGCCGCGUGCAGGAUGAAGGCUUUCGGGUCGUAAACUGCUUUUAUAUGGGAAGAUUAUGACGGUACCAUAUGAAUAAGGACCGGCUAACUACGUGCCAGCAGCCGCGGUAAUACGUAGGGUCCAAGCGAUAUCCGGAAUUACUGGGCGUAAAGCGUGUGUAGGUGGAUUAAUAAGUGUGAUGCGAAAUCCGGCGGCUCAACCGUUUGGACUGUGUCGCAUACUGUUAGUCUAGAGGACGGCAGAGGUAAGUGGAAUUACGGGUGUAGCAGUGAAAUGCGUAGAUAUCCGUAGGAACACCAAUGGCGAAGGCAGCUUACUGGGCCACACCUGACACUGAGACACGAAAGCGUGGGGAGCGAACAGGAUUAGAUACCCUGGUAGUCCACGCCGUAAACGAUGCAUACUAUUAGUAUGGGGUAUCGACCCCCUGUGCUGAGAAGCUAACGCGAUAAGUAUGCCGCCUGGGGAGUACGGGCGCAAGCUUAAAACUCAAAUGAAUUGA